rnacentral:ncRNA from 2 species
UUACUUUUGUGCCGUUUUGGUGCGAUACCUCUUUUCUUGAGGUGAAACAGAAUAGGGAAUCCGGUGUGAAUCCGGAACUGUACCCGCAGCUGUAAGUUCCUGUAAAAGAAUUUUGUACUUCAAUGUCACUGGUUGAAACCGGGAAGGCGGCAAAAUUCGGAACAAGUCAGAAGACCUGCCAAAGCACGUAAACCAUA